rnacentral:lncRNA from 1 species
CUGCUUUUGCUUCCAUCAGCUGCUUCCACCACUGAAUGAAGGCUCUAAAAUGGCUUUAAGGUUUCAAAAAUAAAUAGCGACACUAACAAAGAACUCUGGAAAGAAAAAUAAUAGAGAAGGAUCACUUGGAAGAAAAGAGGAAAGUACAAUGGGAGCACUCAAUGUGGAAACCCAACAGGAAGACCACAUAUUCAUGAAGCAAGAGCAGAUUCAGUAGAGUGGUCAAAUGAGGUCAGAUCAUAAGAGGAUGAAACAUCUAACAAAGCUUAAGAGUGAACAGUGUAUGCAGACCACUUGUGACAGAAUCGAGAGGUUCUGAAAAUGGAGGUGGAAAACCAGAAUCACUGGUGUGAAUGACUGAUGAGAUGACUGAUGCAUGCUCCUACUGCCUGACUUAAAGUGUGGGUGCUUGACCUCCCUCAUGAAUGUACUGUUCAUCCGAGUUACCACUAAUCUCCUUUUGGUUUGCUCAGGUCAGCAGGAUCCUCUCUAGAGGCAUGCUCUCUCCCUGGAUGAAUACUGACCUCUACUAAAAGCAUCACUGUAGGACAGCAUGACAUCAGAAGAGCAUCAGCAAGGCAGUUUCUUAAGGUCUUUUCUCAAAAGACCUUUAAGAAGUAAUGCUGGGGUAGGGUGAUAUCUGAUAAGUUCUCAUGUUCUGUAGGAGGGAAGUUAAUAGCAAUGGUGUGCUUUCUAUCUCAAAAAUAGAAGGGAAUUGGAAUAUAUGCACAUCAAGAAACAAUAAAAGUUUAAGAUAGUGAAUUCAGUAAUUGCUAGUUUACCAAGUAUCUAUGAACCAGUGUAUCUAUCAAUUAUACCUCAGACAUACAUACAAAUAUUACAUCAAUUAUUUAAACAAUAAAUUCUAAAUAUAGGUUCUCCAUUGUUAAUGGGAAUAAUUGAUCUUGAAACUCAGUAAAGGAUUUUCAGUGAGUAUCUAUGACAAUAUUUUUUGUCACCAAAUGAAGGGAAAUCCUUUCAUCGUUAGCCUGAAAAAUGUUACCAAGAUCCUGAAAUAAAUUUUGUAACUAUUCUGUCUCAUAACAAAGUUUGUAUUUGAUAUCUUUAUUGGCUCUUAAGUCCCUUUUGGUUGUAGUACAAACAUUUGAGUGAAUGUACUAGAUGCUUUCUCCAGGAAUUGGUUUUCUACCUUCUUUUAUAACUUCUCCUAUAGUAACCAAUAUUAAUGUGAGCUAGAGAAUGCACUGGAAUUUACUUUCAUAAGUGAGUUGUUUUUCCAAUGCCCACUCUAAGCUCUAUCAAGUAUUUGUUUUGUAUUUAAUAAAACCUAGCAUAGAACUCCAGUUAGCUUCUUCAAAGACAAAAUAAAUUACAUAUAGUCGAAAGUAAAUAUAAUUUGCUAUAACCUUCACUCUAAUGCCCAUGAAGAUAAAUGACUUCUAUUAUAUUUACAAAAACACAGCCAUAGUCAUUAAUAUGACUCACCAUUUUAGACUUGAGAGUGGAUAAAUAGAUCAAAGAAGUCCUGCAAAGUAAUGAAAACAUUUAAAUAUUCUAGACACCAGAGAAAAAGCUCGAAGGUAGAAUGACAACUCAGAAAAGAAACGAAGGAGGAAGGAGGGAGAUAAGGAAGCAGCCAGAGACUAUGAUGUGAGGGAGGAGGGGAUAAGGAGGAGUAGGGAGACUAGCAUGAGACAAGUUAGGGAUAAGGAGGAAGAGGGGGAGAUGAUUCUACAUCAAUAAGACAAUAGUAAAUUGUUGUUAUUACCAAACAGAAAUGUAUUUUACUUCCUCUAAAACCUAAUGACAAGAAAAUAUAACAAACUUACAUUCUUAAACCUGUAAAUUUAAACAAAGAACUUCUAAAGCUUAGUGAAACAAAUACAAUUAUCUAAUUAUCCUAAAACAAUAACAGCUAAUCAUUUUAAACAAACUUACAGUUUGACUCACUUUUGUAAAAUAUAAAUACUUAAAGAUCCUUCCUCUGAGAUGCUUAAAGACUAAGAAACAAGCUCUAUGGAGAAAUCAGUGGGGUGUUUCACUGACCCACAUGCCCUCUGUGUAGCUAAACAGAUUGUUUUUUAUUGCUGUGCAAUAUAGCUGAAAUUUUAUACUUUGGCUCCAAAAUCAUUCUUUCUUAGAGAACUUAAAACCAAUCCUAAUAAUUUCCACCACAGGUAAAUGAUAAACGUAUAAAGAGAUUGAUAUUUAAUUUGAUUUUGACACUAGACAAUCUGUACAUGUAUCAAAAUAUUACAUGAUGUGUGUUCAAUCUUAUUUGCUUUUUUUUUAGUUAGUUAAAAAGAAGCUCAUAAAAUGAACAUCUUUAAAGUUAAAAGGGGCAGUGACUACAGAUAAUUUCCUUACUAUUGGGGCUUCUGAAAAAGUUGUUAAUACUACCUUGAUAUAAUGUGUUUUAAAGCAAUGAAAAAGAUUGUCAGUUAAUAACUGGGUGUGUUUGCAUGAUGAUCAACUUACUGAAACAAUGCCCUGUACAUAAACAAUGCCGAUUUUGCCAGCUCUGGAUUCAAUGACUCUGUUUGAAAAGCAGUUCUACAGGCAUUACCAUUCUUGCUUCAAGGUUAGGGAAACUAGAUUUCCUUGAAAGUAUUUGCAACCCUAAAAACCACUUUUAAUAAGAAUUGUAUGAUAAGUUGUUGAAAUGCAAAUGUAAAAAUUUUUAUGUCUCUCAAGCUUCCUACUUGAAAGUGUGCCUUUGCUGUUUCCUCUGUAAGAGAAUUGAAUGGUCUAGAGAAUUAAUGAAGGAUUUGAACAAUUGUCUUGCCAAGGAAGUACAAUCUCCUUGUGUCUAGAGCACACUGACAGCCUUUGGGUAGCAUACCCAUACCUCCCAGAGAAGAGCAGAUACCUGUUGUUGCUUGUACGUUGGAAGACAGAUGUACACAGGAACCUGCAAACAUCUGAAAACUCUGCAUGUGUGUUUGUGAAACCCAUAGUGAAGUAGGCUUGGCCUCCCUGGACACUGAGAUCAAAUGGUCCUACAGUGUAGUAAGGCUGGCCUCAAGCUGUUGAUCCUCCUGCCUUGGCCUCCAGGUACACAGAGUACAGGCAUGCUCCGAUAUGCCCAGAUAAAUCUUAAGGAAGAAGUUUGUUAAUGCUGUUGGACACAUAAAGAACUGAGAUAUGAAGAAAUUAAGUACCCUGUAAAAUGUCAAAAGCAGCGAAUUUAAUGGAAAGCUGAAGCUGAGAUUCCAUGAUAAUUUCCAAUUUCUAUGGUAUCUAACAAAGUUUAAAGAUGAAGUCACAGCCUAAAGUAUGAGCAAAUAUGGUAUGCUGCUGUCACUCAAAAAAGCAAUGUUCAGCAGCAAUAUUAAAAUUUCAUAAAAGUGAAAAAUACUGAGAAAUCCUUACCUUGGGCUAAUCAGAUAAGACCCAGGAAAAAUACCUGAUGAAUGAAUCAAUGAAUAUAAAGUUUAACCACUAUUUUCUGUGUAACUGUUGCUUACCAAGAUAAAGGAAGAAAAUAAUCACAUGCCAUCACAUGACAGGUCUCUGCAUUUAAAUGUGUUUUAUUAAUGAGAAACUUCAUAAAGUAUUUCUUCCAUCCGAUCUGAGGAACUGCAACCUAAAUGGGGCAAUAAUGUAUUUCUGUGUAACCUGCUCUUAUCAUCUCUCCAAAUGAGCUAGAUGAAACUCCUUGAUCUUGUAAAUUCAUCAUUGUCUAUGUAAAUAGUUUCUACCCUAGGGCUUGAGGGCUGAAGGUAACUCUUUCAAAAAUCAUUUUCAUUUCAAAAACUUCAGUGCCAUAUAUACAUACAUAUAUACAUAUCCCAACUUUUUUGUGUAGAUCAUUGUUACACCUGUGGGAAUGUAUGCUGUG